UUAUCAUUAUUGUUAUCAUCAAAACACCUUUGAAUCACCUUUGAUUCACCAUGAAGCUUUGCUUCUACAACAGUAGAAUUAUUUUAGCAUUUGCCUCAGUAUGAAUAUGGAACUCAACUUCCUAAUCUUGAAUCGAAGUUUUUCCAAAUUGGUUCAGUACAUCUUACUGUAUUUGAGGUACUCUUUUUUGGAAAUAAUGCACAUGUCAUCUCUUUGUUGACCAGGACAGUUACAUAUUAGCAUAUGUGAAACAUACCAUUUUCUCUAUUAUUUGAUAGGAAAAUGUAAAGUAUGGACAUUUUGGGGUGAAAGGAAAAGAAAGAUAGAAAGGAAAAAAAAAGCAGAGAAAGAAGGUGAGACUUGAGAGAGAGAGAGAGAGAGAAAGGAAUGGAGGGAGAGAGAGAGAGAGAGAGAUGAAAGAGAAAGGAAUAUAUAUUUAUCAAAAUAUGACACAGGCAUGAUAUGAUAUUAUGAAGUGUUGGUUAAUAAGAAAGAAUUGUUUGUUUUCCUUUGACGGAGAACUUUGAAAGAGAGUUAUUCCUGUCUUAAUCGAAAGCUAGUUUCUACUUCCAUGUUUAGUUUCUCUGCAAAGCUUUUGUAUGAAUUUUGCAGAAGAGCAAGGUUUUGAAGUUUUUAGGAUUUAUGUGGAAUCCUCUUUCAUGGGUCAUGGAAGUUGCAGCAAUCAUGGCCAAUGCUUUGGCCAAUGGAGGAGUAAGUUGUAUACUUUUAAGUUUUAAACUUUUAAUUGUAUAUUUUGUUGAAAAUGUUUAUUUUGAUAUCUGUGUGAAUGCACAUAAUAGAAUAAUGACUUUCAGAAAUGGUUGUACAAGGUUCUUUUGACAUUAUGUUAUUGGUUUUGCCUAUUUCCUGAAUUUUUAUCUUCAUAUUCUUCAGGGAAAACUCCUUAUUGGCAAGACUUUGAUUCAUAUAGGAAAUAUAAAUAGAAUUAUGAUUAGCAUCACGAAAAGCACCAUUGAUUGAAUUCCUCCAAAAGAUGGGUGGGGAAGAAACGUGUUGCAUCUUCGGUGGACGCAAUUGAGCAAGAGAACCACAAUAUUAAAGGAGUGAGUUUGCUUCGAAGCAGAAUCUGUGAUCCCAAAUUCAUCUUCAUCAGUGAAUCUUGAGAAAGCAACUACAAGUCUCAACUUCUGAACUUCUUCUCGCACAAUUAACCUUUCUCUUUUUUGGUCAUAUUGCCCUUGCUUAAUUUGGUGACACGUGGAAGCUUUGUUGAUAUAUGGCAGCGAGAGAGCGAGAUUUUUGCUCUUUAGUUAUUGAGUGACAUCCAGAGAUACAAAGAUUUUUCCUAUGACAUCAACCCUAAGGAGUCCAUUGGAUGAAAAAUCCCAUUAUCGGGCUGCCGUUGAUCAUCCAAUUUAUCGCUGCCUUCAACAACGACAAAAACAUCAUACAACUUCCAACGUUCUACCAUACACAAUGGGCACCACAGUAUCACGAGUCUGUUCACCUGAGAUAUGAUGGAGUCAUUUACGAAAUACAGGUCAGACGACACAAAGAAAGAGUGUAUUUGGCAAAUGGACUCAAAAAUUUCAAGAAAGUUGAAAAUCUACGAGUCAACCACCAUUAACUUUUUUGCCUAUGACCAUCAGUGCGUAUUUGACAUACACUUCAUACCACCAUUGGAGCGGCAAACUUGUGGCAAGCAGAGGCAUUCAUCUAGAAAGCAUAUCUCGACUGUUCGGUUUACUCAGGAAAUGCUCAAUGCUCCUGAA